UACCUGCAGCUCGAGUGGUAACCGCUAUUAUUGGGCCUAAAGCGUCCGUAGCCGGUUUGGUAAAUAUCUGGGUAAAUCGUGAGGCUUAACUUCACGAAUUUCGGAUAUACUGCCAGACUUGGGAUCGGGGGAGGUCAGAGGUACUCCAGGGGUAGCGGUGAAAUGUUGUAAUCCUUGGAGGACCACCGGUGGCGAAGGCGUCUGACUAGAACGAGUCCGACGGUGAGGGACGAAGCCCUGGGGCGCAAACCGGAUUAGAUACCCGGGUAGUCCAGGGUGUAAACAAUGUGGGCUUUGUAUUGGAGGUUCCACGUGGGCGUCCAGUGCAGAAGAGAAGUUGUUAAGCCCACCGCCUGGGAAGUACGGUCGCAAGGCUGAAACUUAAAGGAAUUGGCGGGGAGCACAGCAACGGGAGGAGCGUGCGGUUU
rnacentral:rRNA from 1 species